UUUCUCCUGUAAAGCUAUGUAUGAAAAUUACAUUACUCUUAUUGUGUAGCAUAAGUAUUGUUUUAUGAUUAUUGUAUUAUUAAUGAUCUUUUGAUUAUUAUUUUGGUUUUAAUCAUCUCAAAAUUUGAAGAUUUUCCCACCUAAGGAUGUCGGCAAGUAAAGACAUUGUCCGUUGAAUUAAUCACUAAAUAGCUCAAACUAACAAGCAUGGAUCUUCUAAGUUUCGGAUCAUAAUAUGUAAGCCCAGCAAGUUUACAAGAACCAUGUGCCUCGACAUACAGCCCCCUAGUGCACAUCGUUGGACUACCCCACCUUCGGCUGUGGUGAAAAUCAACGCACACGCCUCUUUGACCGUUGAACACUACAAGAAAUGUGAUCAAAGAGGGCAAUUUAUUUGAAUAAAAUAGGGCAACUAGUUGAUUGCCUUAUCUAAUAGUAUCAAGGAAGACAAGAAUAUUUCCCCCUUUUUGAUAUUAACUAAGAAGACAAUCAUAUUGUUUUGCCCUCUUUGCUAUCACUUAAUAAAACAAUUUCAAAUUUGCCCUGUUUGAUACCAACUAAGAAGACGAUUUUCCAAUUUUGCCCUCUUUGAUGUUAACCUAAAACAACAAUUUAAUGUUUUGCCCUAUCUAAUUUUAACCUAAAACAACAAUUAUAAGUUUUGCCCUCUUUGAUAAGAGUCAAGGAAAAAAAAAAAGACAAAAAAAUAUUAAAAUAACAAAGUCAAUUAUAGUCAGAACGUUCUACAAACUUUGUUAAAAACGUUGUAUUCGUAAACUUCCCGCAAACAACGAAGUAUGAAUAUCUACAAAAUUUGUCCCAAAAAAUCUUCAAUCUCCAGUAAUUUUGGCAGAAAUCUUCAAUCGUAAUUUUCAAUCGAACAUUGAAAGGGAACCGUUCAUCUUCACUACAAGUUUUAGGGUUUUUCGCAGAUUUUUCUUCGCAAUUUUGGACGUAUCUCGCAGAUUUUUCUUCGCAAUUUCCCAAUUCGAUCUCAUCUUCAGAUGGUUCCUGACAUUAAAUUUGAACUGCUGUUAUGGUGGCCAUGAUGGCGAGGUGAGUCGACUUUUUCGGAGUGUUGUUUAUGCAGUCGACAUCAGGCUGGUGGGUAGCUUGCUAAAGAGGAGGUUAUCGAGAGAAAAAAAGAUGACUGAUGCUAAGAGAAUUUUAUGAUCUGCCAUUGCUUCUGUGGAACUAAAAUUACGUACCUUGGGAAAUUUUGUUAUUAGGACUGAUGUUUGUUAAUACUUUGAUGGAAAUUUGAGAUGGUAUGGACCUAUAUUUAUAUAGAUUUUGAGGAGGUGGCUUGUGAUUUCGUAUCCGCCUAGGAUUAUGGUUACGAGUCGAAUUAUAUUUCUAGAAGAGACGGAUGUUUCUAGAUUCGUAAUGCAAGUAAUUUUACCAAGUUUAAUUCUAA